UUGAGCGGAGUGCGGGGAAACUCGCACGCUCCGUUCUUAGGGGGCGGCGGCGCAGCAAUGUGCCGCUGCUACCCGAC
rnacentral:ncRNA from 4 species